rnacentral:rRNA from 1 species
UACGUAGGAGGCGAGCGUUGUCCGGAGUUACUGGGCGUAAAGCGUGCGCAGGCGGUUUUGUAAGUCUGUCGUGAAAGCCCCGGGCUCAACCUGGGAAUUGCGAUGGAGACUGCAAGGCUUGAAUCUGGCAGAGGGGGGUAGAAUUCCACGUGUAGCAGUGAAAUGCGUAGAGAUGUGGAGGAACACCGAUGGCGAAGGCAGCCCCCUGGGUCAAGAUUGACGCUCAUGCACGAAAGCGUGGGGAGCAAACAGG